UCAGGAUGAACGCUAGCUACAGGCUUAACACAUGCAAGUCAGGGGCAGCAUGAGAUCAGCUUGCUGAUCUUGAUGGCGACCGGCGCACGGGUGAGUAACGCGUAUCCAACCUUCCCCCUACUCAGGCAUAGCCCGGUGAAAACCGGAUUAACUCCUGAUAGUUUCACUAGAUGGCAUCUGACGGUGAAUAAAGCUCCGCGGUAAGGGAUGGGGAUGCGUCUGAUUAGCUUGUUGGCGGGGUAACGGCCCACCAAGGCGACGAUCAGUAGGGUUCUGAGAGGAAGGUCCCCCACAUUGGAACUGAGACACGGUCCAAACUCCUACGGGAGGCAGCAGUGAGGAAUAUUGGUCAAUGGGCGCGAGCCUGAACCAGCCAAGUAGCGUGCAGGAUGACGGCCCUAUGGGUUGUAAACUGCUUUUAUGCGGGGAUAAAGUGAGGGACGUGUCCCUUAUUGUAGGUACCGCAUGAAUAAGGACCGGCUAAUUCCGUGCCAGCCGCCGC
rnacentral:rRNA from 1 species